UACGUGGGGUGCGAGCGUUGUCCGGAAUUAUUGGCGUAAAGGGCUCGUAGGCGGUCUGUCACGUCGAAAAGUAGAAAACUCAGGGCUUAACCCUGAGCCUGCUUCCGAUACGGGCAGACUAGAGGUAUGCAGGGGAGAACGGAAUUCCUGGUGUAGCGGUGAAAUGCGCAGAUAUCAGGAGGAACACCGGUGGCGAAGGCGGUUCUCUGGGCAUUACCUGACGCUGAGGAGCGAAAGUGUGGGGAGCGAACAGG
rnacentral:rRNA from 1 species